CAAAAGGUAGCUUAUUACAAAGCCUCUCGCUUACACCGAGAAGAUGUCUACUAAACUAGGCCCCUUUGA
rnacentral:tRNA from 1 species